UGUGAUUGUGACACAUGCCUCUGUGUAGAACCUGAGUUUCAACUGCAGCAGAGAUUGUAACAAACCACUGGGCCCAGCCGCAUAAUGAUGUUACUCUUUUGCCUUGGGCCUGCCCUCAGAAGGCACUGUCACAUAUUCAUGGGCCCAACGCCAAGGUGAUAUGUGUCUCCAGCCUGGACCCUGCCCACAGGGGGCAUUGUGACAUAUCUCUUGGCCCAUCAGAUGUUUGAUUGUUAUCCCCUCCCCUCUUCUACCCUGUGUUUGCCUAUAAAAGACACAGUCAUAUGUUCCUGGGCCCAGCACCUAGGUGUUGUCUUACUGGAAUGUGUCCACAUGGGGAUUGUGAUAUGUCACGUGGCCCAGUACUUAACUUGAUGUGACUCUCCUCUCAUGCCUAGGCCUUGUAGAGAAUCCCCUUCCCCUUUUGUUUUCCUUUUUUUCUUUGCAGAUCCAGGAGAUAAUCAACUAAGAGCCAGGCACCCGUUUAGGUCUAAUAAACAUUUUACAAACUGCUCUCUCUUUUAAUUCACCUAUCUGAGAGAUUCCUCUGUACAAUAAAACUUGGUCUCCACAAUCCUUUACCUUAACCUAAACCUUCCCUUUCAUUGAUCCCAGGUCUUCAGAUUCCACCACUUGUCAACCACAAAAUAUUUAAAUUUACCUGGAAGCCGCCCGCUUUGAGUUGUCCCGCCUUUCUGAACCAAACCAAUAUAUUCCUGCAAAACCGGCCAUGAUUAAAACAUCAAAAAAUAAUACAUGUUGGCGUGGCUGUGGUGAAAAAAGAAUACUUUUUCACUGCUGGUGGGUAUGUAAACUAGUACAACCACUAUGAAAAACAGUAUGGAGAUUCAUUAAAUAAAAGUAAAGCUACCAUUUGAUUAAGCAAUUCUACUACUGUGUAUCUACAUGAAGAAAAAGAAAUUAUAUGUGUAAGACACUUGCACACACAUGUUUAUAGCAGC
rnacentral:lncRNA from 1 species